rnacentral:lncRNA from 1 species
AUCUGGCCUAGGGUAAGGGUGUCUGUGCUUUGGCAGUGGGUGUGAAAGGAGAAACUCCAGAGGGUUGGGCGGCAACAUGCUCAUUCUGUUCUCUUCCGUAGAUGGCCUUCCGGAGACAUGCGGGGUGAAUGGAAAAUGUAAUGAAAUUCCCAGAGCCUCCUGGUGCACUACCAAGUUGCAGUAAUCCAAUGUGGCAUCAAAGAGCAAUUGUCAGAAUCAUAACCCCUCACCAUUCUGCAGUGCUGCUGCUGGCAAUAUUGAGCUUAGAGAAAUGAGCGCUCUGAACUGCUCCAUUGAUACAGACACUGAUCCAAGUGGACCAAACCAGAGAAAACAGGUUCCAUGGUUCAUCAGGACUCUGAUUCCUAAUUGGCUGCGGGAUUGCCUAUAACACUCAAUAACCUGAUUCACAGCAAUAGGAAUGGUUGAAUCUACAUAAUAAAGCAAGUGUGAUGAAAGAUGCUGUUGCACUUCGUAACAAUAAUCAUAUGUUUGUAGUGUCAGGACCAGAAUUUGCCUGUGCCCCUUUGCUGCAAGUGGUGCUCUGGCCACGAAGCCCUGAGGGUGGCCCACCGAUGGCGUUCACAGUGGCAGUGGGUAGGAACCGAGAAACUGCUUCCUGUUCAGAGCCAGGAUUUGCCAGCAGGUCAAGGCUCUGGUGCCCCCAGCACUGCUCCUCCCCAGGGGUGCCCGGCACUCUGACGGCAGCCUCGGGAGCCAGACUUUGCAGCCUGCCGCCUGGGAGAGCUGCCAGUUGAACCUUCACUGUAGAGUAAAAUCAGGUACAAUUG